UAAAUUGUUUUAAAUAAAUUAGAAUGUAUUCUAUUUGCAGGAGUUAUCAGUUAUAAAAUAUUAAUAUUAGAUUUUUUUCUUGACGAUAUUUUAGAGGAGGAAGUCAACAGCACAUCUACAAUAGUAGACAUCUAUUCUUUUUGGAUCGUUGUAACUAUAGUAACUAUUGUUAUAACUGGAGUUAUCUUCGGGUUUGUCUGCUGAAGAAUACGUCAUGGCUGCUCAAGGCCGACCGCAUCUGGAUCAUCUGUAUGUGAAACUCCUGGCUCUUUGGACAAAGAUGACCCUGAUGACCCUGAUGACCCUGAUGACCCUUAUGACCCUUACACAAGCCUCCAGCAUCCAGAGAGUGAUCUCUACCAAACUAUCUCAAAUUGAGCCAGCAGCAGGCCUAUCGUGACGGCCUGCUUGAACAACCAGGAAAUAGAUGGAAGAGAGGCCGAUCCAAGUUGUGAAAUCUAUUAAAACAUUUAAACCAAAUAUCAAGAUAAUAUAACUGUAAUAUGUGGAUGUUCUCGACUUACUGAGAUGGUAGGCUACUUUUGUGUCUUUGUUAUGCAAUCAAACAGAACAGGUUUGGCAGCAGAACUUGCCACACUGUAAUCAAAAGAUGUUUUAUUGCAAGUAAAAUAAAAUGUAUUGAUGCAAAUCCAAAAGUUUUGUUUGCUGCUGAGCUUAGGACAUGUGCAGGACCUUUAGAUUUGCAAACAAAACUUUUGGAUAUACAAACAAAACUUUA